UAAACGUGUGGGCCAUCCACUGGCCAC
rnacentral:misc_RNA from 1 species